AUUGAACGCUGGCGGCAGGCCUAACACAUGCAAGUCGAACGGUAACAGGAAGAAUCUUGCUUCUUUGCUGACGAGUGGCGGACGGGUGAGUAAUGUCUGGGAAACUGCCUGAUGGAGGGGGAUAACUACUGGAAACGGUAGCUAAUACCGCAUAACGUCGCAAGACCAAAGAGGGGGACCUUCGGGCCUCUUGCCAUCGGAUGUGCCCAGAUGGGAUUAGCUAGUAGGUGGGGUAACGGCUCACCUAGGCGACGAUCCCUAGCUGGUCUGAGAGGAUGACCAGCCACACUGGAACUGAGACACGGUCCAGACUCCUACGGGAGGCAGCAGUGGGGAAUAUUGCACAAUGGGCGCAAGCCUGAUGCAGCCAUGCCGCGUGUAUGAAGAAGGCCUUCGGGUUGUAAAGUACUUUCAGCGGGGAGGAAGGGAGUGACGGUAAUGGGUAAAGAAGCACCGGCUAACUACGU
rnacentral:rRNA from 1 species